AUUGAACGCUGGCGGCAUGCUUUACACAUGCAAGUCGAACGGUAACAGGCCGCAAGGUGCUGACGAGUGGCGAACGGGUGAGUAAUGCAUCGGAACGUGCCCAGUCGUGGGGGAUAACGCAGCGAAAGCUGCGCUAAUACCGCAUACGGUCUAUGGAUGAAAGCGGGGGACCGUAGGGCCUCGCGCGAUUGGAGCGGCCGAUGUCAGAUUAGGUAGUUGGUGGGGUAAAGGCUCACCAAGCCAACGAUCUGUAGCUGGUCUGAGAGGACGACCAGCCACACUGGGACUGAGACACGGCCCAGACUCCUACGGGAGGCAGCAGUGGGGAAUUUUGGACAAUGGGCGCAAGCCUGAUCCAGCAAUGCCGCGUGCAGGAAGAAGGCCUUCGGGUUGUAAACUGCUUUUGUACGGAACGAAACGGUCCUGGUUAAUACCCGGGGCUAAUGACGGUACCGUAAGAAUAAGCACCGGCUAACUACGUGCCAGCCGCCGCAGUAAAAC
rnacentral:rRNA from 1 species